UAUUGCUGAUCACGGUGAAGCCCCUUCCUAGAGGCCUGUGUGUCCCUGUCAUUGUGUUUGGGCUGGGUUCUCACCUUUCUCUCGUUCUGCAGAACCCUUAAGCAGGCAAGGACCGAGACUGCUACGACUCCGGGCUGAGAUGCUGAGCAGUGGCCUUGGGGACACAGGCCUGAAGAUACGGCAAACAGGAAUCAGUCAGCAGGACCCAGACCCCCUUGGCCUAGGACCUCCAGAGCCAACAUGAAGGCAGAUGUCCAGGGGACAGGAGGAACCCCCAACCUCAGUAUCCACCACUCAGAGAUGGGCUGGCCCUCAUGAGCUCUGGUAUGACCCACCCGGUGGUUCUGAUAGGCUGUCACAGCUGUGAACUGGGUCUCCGUGAAAACAAAGGACUUGAAGUUUUCCUGGGCGUAGCGGGCGCUGUCCUUGCGUGGGUCCACAAAGACCACAUGGAAACGGGGCUGGUACCGGUGCAUGGAGUUGAGAAUGAUCUGUAGGAGGGUGGGAGUCGAGUGCAGGGCUACAGCCGCUGCAGCCACCCUCCCUGGGCCCACGAUUCUUCUGCCCCUUCUUGCCCAUGGCCCAUCUCUGCUCUCCCUUCACAACUACGUAGAAUCUGGUUACCGCUCCAACCUAUCCCCAUGUUAGCCAGCCCCGUCAUCUUUCAGCUGUAUUCUGCCUGGCCUCCCUGCCUCCCCAUCUUGUCCUGCCCGGUUUCCACACAGCAGCUGGGCGAGACACGCACACCUGCUCUAAACCCUCUGGAGCUCCAUCCACGGACGGGGAGGAAGAGCCAGGGUUCUCACCUGGCCCUGUGAGAGCCUCCCCACCACCUCCCUGUCUUCCCUUCAGCCCCACUGCCCAGUUGGCAGCCUCCCAACUCACUCCAUACUUUCUGGCCUCAGGACCUUGCUCAGGCUGUCCCCUGGGCUUCGAACAGCCUCCUCUCGCACCUUCCUCCCCCUCUUCCUUCUGAUACCCAUUCAAAUAUGUCAGCCCUGCCAGCCCCAGCUCCAGGCUUCAUCCCAGUCCGAGUGCCAGCCUGCUCCAACCGCUCAGCCCCUCCCCAAUGGCUCCGUGGCUUGCGCCUCACAUGGCCGUUGUCAUCCAUCAGGUUGUUGGUCAGCUUGAGUUUGUCGAAGGACACGAUCUGACGCAUCCACUGGGCACCCUUGGCUGGCGAGUCAGGGUGGAAGUGCACUCUGCCAGGUGUGGCGGGGUCGGCCUUGCCGGCCACCAGCCAGGCAGAGCUGUGGAAGGCGUACCUGGGGGAGCAUAGUGAGGGGUCAAGGACUGUUCCCGUCCUGCUCAGUGCCAAGUCUGGCCAAGAGAAUGGUGAAGAGGCUGAUCCUGACCCAGCAUGCUCAGGCUGCCUGGUGAGCAUCCUUCGUUUUGGAAUUAAUUCUGCAUGUGUGCAUGUCUGUGCCUGCCUCAGGCUAGCCCACCUCUCUGUGCUGGGCUUCCUUCUGCCUAAAGGCUAUUGCUCCAGGCUAGGCCUCCUGGGCAUGAACUCAAAAGGGCUCCACAUCACCCCGCCUGCCCUUGGGGUCCAGUUCCUGUCCUCAGGACCACCCCCCACCCCCGGGGCCCAGACCUGUAUCUCUUGUCAUCCAGCGGGAUGAAGUCCAUGAGCAGAGCAUAGUCAGCCAAUGUGUCCAUGCCCAAGAUCUUCACCUGGAAGGUGGGGAACAUCCUCCUGUGGGAGGGAGGUGCUCAGCCUGGCUGUGGCCCCCACCCCUGCCCAGCCCCCGCUGUCCAUGCCCACACCUGCCCGCUUUGGUGACAAUCAUUUCGGUGCCCAGCUGGUUGAAUUCUUCCCACAGUGGCUUCAUCUCCAACUGUACCAUCACACCGGACACACGUGGGUUCUUGGGGCCCUGCCCAGUGGGCUCCACCAUGGCUUGGCCUUCUGUGGGCAUGGUGCAGGAACCUGAUGGGAAGGACAUCCCCAGCUGGGGCUCCCAGCUGGCACCGGUCACAGGUGGGGGGUAGGUCUCUGGGGGAGCAAGUACCCCUAGGCCAGCAGACAGGAAGACUGUGGAGAGAGGGUGAAUCUGUGAGCCCUGACCUUGCCGGCCUGACUCACUGUCCAUUCAGCCUCAUCUUUCAGGUAGUAUCCACACACCUCUUCUUCCGGAAGGCCUCCCUCCCUGCCAGGCUUCUGUUCCCAAUUUUGUCAUAAAACAUCACCCCAUAUUCA